AACGAACGCUGGCGGCAUGCCUAACACAUGCAAGUCGAACGAACCCUUCGGGGUUAGUGGCGCACGGGUGCGUAACGCGUGGGAAUCUGCCCUUUGCUUCGGAAUAACUCAGGGAAACUUGUGCUAAUACCGGAUGAUGUCUUCGGACCAAAGAUUUAUCGGCAAGGGAUGAGCCCGCGUAGGAUUAGGUAGUUGGUGGGGUAAAGGCCUACCAAGCCGACGAUCCUUAGCUGGUCUGAGAGGAUGAUCAGCCACACUGGGACUGAGACACGGCCCAGACCCGGAGGGGGGGAGGAGGGGGGGAUUAUAGAAAAAGGGGGGCAAGCCGAACCACGCAACGCGGGGGGGGGAAGGCAGCCCCUGGGGUAGAAAACCCCUUUAAACGGGGAUGUAAAGGACAGUACCUGAAGAAUAAGCACCGGCUAACCCGGUG
rnacentral:rRNA from 1 species